rnacentral:misc_RNA from 1 species
GUGAAUCAUCAAAUUUUUGAACGCAAAUUGCACUCUCUGGUAUUCCGGAGAGUAUGCCUGUUUGAGGGUCAGUUUAAAUAAAAAUCGGUGGGGUUGUUGCCUUUCGUGGUGAUGAACGGGGUUUGGGUGGUGUUGCUUUGGGUUAAUGGACUUAAAAUUUGUGUGGUUUUUUUUCGAAGGUUUUAAAAUGAUUUUAGUUAGGUUUCGGUAAUGGAAUACU